rnacentral:rRNA from 1 species
CUACGGGAGGCAGCAGUCGAGGAUCUUCGGCAAUGGGCGCAAGCCUGACCGAGCGACGCCGCGUGUGCGAUGAAGGCCUUCGGGUUGUAAAGCACUGUCGAGGGGGAGGAAAGCCCGCGAGGGCCUGACCUAUCCCUGGAGGAAGCACGGGCUAAGUUCGUGCCAGCAGCCGCGGUAAGACGAACCAUGCGAACGUUGUUCGGAUUCACUGGGCUUAAAGGGCGCGUAGGCGGGCAGCCAAGUCAGGGGUGAAAUCCUCCGGCCCAACCGGAGAACGGCCCCUGAUACUGGCGGCCUCGGGGGAGGUAGGGGCAGGUGGAACUUCCGGUGGAGCGGUGAAAUGCGUAGAUAUCGGAAGGAACGCCGGCGGCGAAAGCGACCUGCUGGACCUCCACUGACGCUGAGGCGCGAAAGCCAGGGGAGCAAACGGGAUUAGAAACCCUGGUAGUCC